CUGCUGCCUCCCGUAGGAGUUUGGGCCGUGUCUCAGUCCCAAUGUGGCCGUCCACCCUCUCAGGCCGGCUACUGAUCGCUGCCUUGGUGGGCCGUUACCCCGCCAACUAGCUAAUCAGACGCGGAUCCAUCGUAUACCACCGGAGUUUUUCACACUGCCCCAUGCGGAGCCGUGCGCUUAUGCGGUAUUAGCACCUAUUUCUAA
rnacentral:rRNA from 1 species